rnacentral:misc_RNA from 1 species
CUUUAUAUGAUUCUACGCCCACCAACCUUGGUUUAUUCGAGAACAAAAUACACUAUCUAGGUCUGCAUUUUUAUUUCACACUUACAGGGUAUAAACAUAGAAGCUCUUUUCUUCCAAUUCAGCUUGCUCUCAGAUCAAGCCUUGCAGGACAAAAACUUCGAUCCCUCAACGAUCGAGGACCUGAUGAAGCUGUUUGAGAUAGAUGCAUACAAGUCACGGGCAGCAACGGAGCUUGAGCAGGAAAAGGAAGUGAAAGAAGCAGAAAUAGCUAUGCAAAAAGCUGAUGACUAUUUUGAUUCUGUGAUGGAAAGUGCCAUGGAUGAAUUUCGUCGAUUCGAAAGGAUGGCAAAGGCAGAGCUUGAAAGCUUAGAACAGACUGCUGAGAGUGCAAGAAAAAUGGGAAAAUUAAUGGAAAAAACAGCAAAUAUUGCUUCCAAGAAGUAUAUUGAAUCUGCUGUUAAUUCUGCUACUGCUUCCAUGAAAUCUGGCUGGAAGGGACUGUCCUCUAACAAGGUUCAUCCUUCUUGAGAGAUCCUGAUGAAUUUUUAACCUUUUUCCUUUUCCUUUCCCUGAUCAUGAAAGAACUCUUUUUCAUUGUACUAUGUUCUUCAUCUGAGGCUCUUGUUAAAGUCAUAUGGUAAAGAAAAGCCAUAAAGUGAUGAUCUUUAAGAACUGGGAAAUGUAAUAAAUAUAACAGGAAAUUGAAAAUUACUCAUUUGUGGAAGAAAAUUAUAUAAAGAAAAGCCUAAAUGAAAUAAUUAAUUAUCA